UCGAAAAAGAGACAAAAAUGGAGGAUUCUGCGAAGAUUACAAAGAAAAUGGAACCAUCACUUUGUUGUAAACGUACGUGGCUGCACGAGAAAUAAAAUCUGAAACAAAUAAAAUUCUACACAAAAUGUGAGCGUCGUGUGAUCAACAAACUCUGGUUUCCAUGCUCUCCACUCCAGGCUGUUUGGCGGGAAAAUGUUACCAAGAAUAGAAAAGCAAUGAUUGUGGAAGUUUUUAAGAGAGAUUUGAGCUUAACAAGUUUCAAAUUUGUGGAAAUUUUGAUUCCUGAGAAUAGCAUUUAUAUCAUGUUUUAGGCCAGAGCCAGCCAUCAUAACAAGAUAUUCAAGGUUUUCCUGUGCUGCUAUUGACCUGUCGUCACCAUUAAUCUCAGGGUCAUCACUUGGAUAAACAGCAUCCGUUCCAUUGGAGAAACUACCCAGAUGUCAAUCAAGUUAUGGAUGUCUUCUCCCCCUUUUCUUUAAAUGUCCUCGUGUACGCCCAUGCGAGUGUGGGUGUAUUCACGAGGACACCCUUUUUAUCCU